GCAAGUCGUGCGAGAAAGAUCUUCGGAUAUGAGUAGAGCGGCGGACGGGUGAGUAACGCGUAGGAAUCUACCUAGUAGAAGGGGAUAGCCCGGGGAAACCCGGAUUAAUACCGUAUACCUCCUUCGGGAGAAAGAAGGCCUCUCUUUGAAGCUUUCGCUAUUAGAUGAGCCUGCGUAAGAUUAGCUUGUUGGUGAGGUAAAGGCUCACCAAGGCGACGAUCUUUAGCUGGUCUGAGAGGACGAUCAGCCACAUUGGGACUGAGACACGGCCCAGACUCCUACGGGAGGCAGCAGUGGGGAAUAUUGGACAAUGGGCGAAAGCCUGAUCCAGCCAUACCGCGUGUGUGAAGAAGGCCUUCGGGUUGUAAAGCACUUUAAGCAGGGAGAAAAAGUUAUAAGUUAAUACCUUAUAACCGUGAUGUUACCUGCAGAAUAAGCACCGGCUAAUUCCGUGCCAGCAGCCGCGGUAAUACGGAAGGUGCAAGCGUUAAUCGGAAUUACUGGGCGUAAAGCGCGCGUAGGAGGUUUGUUAAGUUGGAUGUGAAAGCCCUGGGCUCAACCUAGGAACUGCAUCCAAAACUAACUCACUAGAGUACGAUAGAGGGAGGUAGAAUUCAUAGUGUAGCGGUGGAAUGCGUAGAUAUUAUGAAGAAUACCAGUGGCGAAGGCGGCCUCCUGGAUCUGUACUGACACUGAGGUGCGAAAGCGUGGGUAGCGAAC
rnacentral:rRNA from 1 species